rnacentral:lncRNA from 1 species
UGCUCUUUCCACCCUGCUAGCUUGUGUUGAAUUUUCGUGAGGACCUCUUCAAAGGUUUGCUUUUUAGAUUUAAAAAUCACUGUAGGUAAUCCAAGAAAUUUAUCCUGGCCUCCAAAGUUACGAAUGCCUAAUAUAUGUCCAAUAGAGUCUCUAAUUCUCCAAGGUGUAUUACUGCUGAAGGAUAAAGAUGAUUUGUUAAAAUUAAUGGUUUGCCCACUUGCUUGAGAGCAAGCAUCAAGCAAUCUUCUAAUCUUAAGAGCUUCCUCCGAAGAUACAUUUGAAAAGAUCAUUGAAUCAUCCGCAAAAAGGAGACGAGUAACAAUCGGAGCAUGUCUAGCUAUAGAGAUACCUUGGAGAGAGGAAUGGCCAAUUAAAUGUGACAAUCCUUCAGCACAAAGCAGGAAAAGG